rnacentral:rRNA from 1 species
CACCGCGGUUAGACGAUACGCCCAAGUUGACAGCCUUCGGCAUAAAGCGUGGUUAAUUAACACUUAAACUAAAGUCGAACCCCUUCACCAACUGUCGAAAGUUUAAGAAGCAGGGAAGCCCAACAACGAAAGUGACUUUAACACUAAUGAAUCCACGAAAGCUAUGAAA